GAUGAACGCUGGCGGCGUGCCUAAUACAUGCAAGUCGAGCGAACAGAUAAGGAGCUUGCUCCUUUGACGUUAGCGGCGGACGGGUGAGUAACACGUGGGUAACCUACCUAUAAGACUGGAAUAACUCCGGGAAACCGGGGCUAAUGCCGGAUAACAUUUAGAACCGCAUGGUUCUAAAGUGGAAGAUGGUUUUGCUAUCACUUAUAGAUGGACCCGCGCCGUAUUAGCUAGUUGGUAAGGUAACGGCUUACCAAGGCAACGAUACGUAGCCGACCUGAGAGGGUGAUCGGCCACACUGGAACUGAGACACGGUCCAGACUCCUACGGGAGGCAGCAGUAGGGAAUCUUCCGCAAUGGGCGAAAGCCUGACGGAGCAACGCCGCGUGAGUGAUGAAGGUCUUCGGAUCGUAAAACUCUGUUAUUAGGGAAGAACAAAUGUGUAAGUAACUGUGCACGUCUUGACGGUACCUAAUCAGAAAGCCACGGCUAACUACGUG
rnacentral:rRNA from 1 species